UGUCUGAGAACGACGGCGUUUGGUUUGAGAGCGUUUUGUCUGAGAACGAUGGCGUUUGGUUUGAGAGCGUUUGGUCUGAGAAUGAAAGAUGUUUUUCUGACGGCGUUUACUUUGAGGACGUUUUGUCUGAGAAUGACAGAGGUUUUUCUGAGACUAAAGCCGUUUGGUCUGAGACUUGACGCCUUUUCGUUUGAGUCUGAGGAUGUCCUAAAAUGAACACCGUAGUACUUGAGACUGUUGAGACACAUCACCUUACUUUUGGUUUCAUUUUGUCAACUACGAGCGUGCCAGUGUGCACGACAGUUAGUACACAUACUCUUACGAUGGAUAUUAUUGAAGGGGAAUUGACGUGUGUCAUCUGCUUGUCAACUCUUACCGAGCCUCACCAAUACCCAUGUGGACACAGCUAUUGCCUGUCCUGCAUUACUGGCAUGAGGCGCUUACAGGACUACCAAUGUCCAGAGUGUCGACAAGUCUUCCCCAGAAACGAAGACGUCAUUAAGAACUACCGCCUUGCUAACAUCGCCGAAGCUUACAAGAAGUCAGCGCUCUCUAAGUAUUCUCCAAUUCAAAGAAUUAAGUCAUGGGACACUGUGACAUGGCCGCAGGCGCUGCUGAUAAUCAUAGCAACAACUUUCCUCCUUAAAGUACUUACAUACUUAGUACUUGAUACUGCGGCUGCAGAAAACCCAGUAGUGCAGGGAUCUCAGCUGGAGCCGGACUUCUGUCCCGCAGAUCUGGAACA